rnacentral:lncRNA from 1 species
CCGGACAAUUGUUUAGCACAAACCAAACCAUUUUUUCAUAAUCAUGCUCAAGAUAUGUAAGAUUUGGUGCUCCUAUAAGAUAGGCUCCAUGCUGGAAAACAGAUAGCUCUCCUUCCUCAAUAACAACACGCUCUCUGUUCCUGCCCUCCCGAUUGUGUCGUGUCUCAACAUCAUCACCAAAGUACCUCGAGCAAAUAUUCAAGCACUCAGCAGCAACAUAUGCUUCUGCAAUCGACCCUUCAGGCCUUGCCAUAUUCCUCACAAACCGUUUCAAUGUAAGCAACCUUCUUUCUACUGGGUA